GCGGGUUUAAGUUAAGUUUAAACUAGUGGUCUUCAAAACCGACAAUUUAUACCCGUU
rnacentral:tRNA from 1 species